rnacentral:tRNA from 1 species
GCGUGAUUGAUGUUUAAUGGUAGCAUGUUGUCCUUCCAAGUCAAUCGUAGCGGUUCGAAUCCGCUAUCACGCUCCA